UGCUUGGAAUGAAAUGACUAACAUUUAGCCCACUGAUAUGAUCAAGCAUAAAUCUGAAAAAGACAAACUGCUGGCAAAUGUUCUCCCUUCGAAGGAGGUCCUGGCAAGGUUUACAAUAUUCAUCCUCCUCUAUCUGGCCAAAAUAUCCUGCUCUGUACUAAAAAUUAAAGGACAAAUAGUGAAGAAAAUCCUUUCACCUCAGCGAAAUAUCUCCACUAGCCUGAAUACCAAGGUAGAAUUUCACUGAAGGGUGAGCUCCACUGAAAUUUCUUCUGUUUCCAAUAAGGUUCUCUCCAGCUGAUCCAUGGAUUUCUUGAAACUGAUACUCUGUGGGAAGCAGUAGUGCUGAACAGAGCAAGUUGGAUGCCUUGCCUACAGCCCCUUUUCUCUAUAUAUGCAUCAGGACACAAAGACAGCUCCUAGACUGAUAUUGUUGGGUACUUAAUUACUAGGUCAAUAGACUUCUUGUGUUUGGGCAGCUCAUCCCAUCUAAGAACAAAUAGAAGGUACUUUCCCCCCGAAUAAAAAAAAAAAAAGCCGAAUAAUUUCAAAAAUUUCUCAAGAUUGAUUUUGAGUUUCAAGAAUUGAUUAAAAAUGUCACCCAAACUUCAGUGGAAUCAAGCUGGAAAAUGUCAGUCUGUUAUACCUGUGCAGUUAAAUUAUACACCCUGCCUUCUCACAUGUUUACAGAUCAAGUACUCUACAGAACUGACAUAUCCAUACCAUAAUUAUGGGCAGUGAAAGCAAUAACUAUACCACUGUUAACCACCUUUACCAUAAAAGCAUUUAGGUUAGAAAAGAGCUUUAAGAUCAUUGAGCAAACCUAACCUAAAUCCUGUACAGUUUGCUCCUGCACAACUGUUUUAUUAUAUUCUGUUUUAUUAUAUUCUUAGAGGGGUUUUAUUACAAAGGGCAUCUUCUGACUCAUCUAACUGUUGAACUGCACAGAGAAGCCAGAUGUGGUCAAAAUAUUUAGAAUAUUUCUUAAGCAGAUUUGAAUAUUCUGGACUAA